rnacentral:rRNA from 1 species
GAUGAACGCUGGCUACAGGCUUAACACAUGCAAGUCGUGGGGAAACGGCAUUAUGUGCUUGCACAUUCUGGACGUCGACCGGCGCACGGGUGAGUAUCGCGUAUCCAACCUGCCCCUUACUUGGGGAUACCCCGUUGAAAGACGGCCUAAUACCCGAUGUGUUUCAUUGACGGCAUCCGAUAUGAAACAAAGGUUUUCCGGUAAGGGAUGGGGAUGCGUCUGAUUAGCUUGUUGGCGGGGCAACGGCCCACCAAGGCGACGAUCAGUAGGGGUUCUGAGAGGAAGGUCCCCCACAUUGGAACUGAGACACGGUCCAAACUCCUACGGGAGGCAGCAGUGAGGAAUAUUGGUCAAUGGACGCAAGUCUGAACCAGCCAAGUAGCGUGCAGGAUGACGGCCCUAUGGGUUGUAAACUGCUUUUAUGUGGGAAUAAAGUGGCGCACGUGUGCGCCAUUGCAUGUACCUCAUGAAUAAGGACCGGCUAAUUCCGUGCCAGCAGCCGCGGUAAUACGGAAGGUCCGGGCGUUAUCCGGAUUUAUUGGGUUUAAAGGGAGUGUAGGCGGUCUGUUAAGCGUGUUGUGAAAUUUAGGUGCUCAACAUUUAACUUGCAGCGCGAACUGUCAGACUUGAGUACACGCAGCGCAGGCGGAAUUCAUGGUGUAGCGGUGAAAUGCUUAGAUAUCAUGAGGAACUCCGAUCGCGAAGGCAGCCUGCGGGAGUGUUACUGACGCUUAAGCUCGAAGGUGCGGGUAUCGAACAGG